UCCCUGGUGGCUCAGACGGUAAAGCAUCUGCCUGCAAUGUGGAAGACCCAGGUUCAAUUGCUGGGUUGGGAA
rfam:TPA: Bos taurus chromosome 10, whole genome shotgun sequence.